CCGGAGAGGGAUGGGCCCGCGGCCUAUCAGCUUGUUGGUGAGGUAACGGCUCACCAAGGCGACGACGGGUAGCUGGUCUGAGAGGACGACCAGCCACACUGGAACUGAGAUACGGUCCAG
rnacentral:rRNA from 1 species